GUGCUCGCUUUGGCAGCACAUAGAAUAAAAUUGGAGCAAUACAGAGAAGAUUAGCAUGGCCCUUGAGCAAGGAUGACACGCAAAUUUGUGUAGUGUUCCAUAUUUUU
ensembl:snRNA U6 U6 spliceosomal RNA